rnacentral:rRNA from 1 species
AGUCGGACGGCAGCACGGGUGCUUGCACCUGGUGGCGAGUGGCGAACGGGUGAGUAAUACAUCGGAACGUACCUAGGAGUGGGGGAUAACGUAGCGAAAGUUACGCUAAUACCGCAUAUUCUGUGAGCAGGAAAGCAGGGGACCGCAAGGCCUUGCGCUUCUGGAGCGGCCGAUGUCGGAUUAGCUAGUUGGUGAGGUAAAGGCUUACCAAGGCGACGAUCCGUAGCGGGUCUGAGAGGAUGAUCCGCCACACUGGGACUGAGACACGGCCCAGACUCCUACGGGAGGCAGCAGUGGGGAAUUUUGGACAAUGGGCGCAAGCCUGAUCCAGCCAUGCCGCGUGAGUGAAGAAGGCCUUCGGGUUGUAAAGCUCUUUCGGUGGGGAAGAAAUUGCACUUGAUAAUACCGAGUGUAGAUGACGGUACCCGCAUAAGAAGCACCGGCUAACUACGUGCC